ACGAGGUUCUGCCAAAACGAUUCCCGCCUCCUCCUUCGUGUGCUGUUCAGCGUCUAACGAAACGUGCACGACCGCCACCUAUUGACCUGGAAUGGAACAGCAAUAAAAUCAAAGGUCAUGCGUGAGCUUUGCCACAGAUUUUACAUAG